GUGCAGCAGGCGCGAAUACUUUACAAUGUGCGAAAGCACGAUAAGGGAACUCUGAGUGCCUCCUAAGGAGGCUGUUCAGGUGUCUAAAAGCACCUGAAGGAAGGGCUGGGUAAGACCGGUGCCAGCCGCCGCGGUAACACCGGCAGCCCAAGUGGUAGCCACGUUUAUUGGGUCUAAAGCGUCCGUAGCCGGCUGGGUAAGUUCCUUGGGAAAUUUGGCUGCUUAACAGUCAAGCUUUCAGGGAAUGCUGCCCGGCUUGGGGACCGGGAGAGGUCAGAGGUACUCCAGGGGUAGGGUGAAAUCCAUUAAUCCUUGGGGGACCACCGGUAGCGAAGGCGUCUGACCAGACCGGGUCCGACGGUGAGGGACGAAGGCUAGGGGCGCGAACCGGAUUAGAUACCCCGGUAGU
rnacentral:rRNA from 1 species